GGAAUUUUGUGAGGUUCGCAUUGAGAUACCCUGUCGAGAUAAGUACUUUGGUGCUUCAAGUAUAGGCGUCUGUGGUCCGUGUAAAUGUGAAGUGGGGAAUGAAUCUGAGUCCAGUUUGUAACAAGUCUACAGGAGAGUGCUACUGUAAUGCAAAGCACCAUCGAAAGGUUGUAAGCUACACAUUCUCGGGGUGCCCCUGUGUUUAGUGAUGGCUGUCUCAGAUGUGACUGUGAAGAGAUUGGUAGUACUGGUGAUCAGUGUGCUACAGAGAAUGGCGAGUGCCCUUGUCUUAGAGGCCGAAGGGGAGGGAAUAAUGUGGUCGGAAGGCGUUGUAAUCAGUGCGAAGACAAACAGGGUCAGAUUGUGAGUGGUAAAGGCUGGGUGGUUAUUACCUCAUCACGUCCAAGAGCAUUUGCUGAGGAAAUAUGUUGAAAGAAAGCCGCGUUUGGGACAACAGCAAAAGAAAAAUGCCCAUCGGAUCAUCGGGUUUGUGUUUUGAUGAACUUAAGUUUUUCGAAAAUUUUGUGAUUUCACCAUCUAUGCCGUUGUUUUUUAAACUUGUUGAUGAAAUGUUGUGUUAGAAGGUAAUUGUUUGUAUCAUGUUAUAUCUGUGUUAAACCAUACAAUUUCUAGUUUUAGUCACUCUCGUAGCAAGUCGAUUUGCUGAUUAGUCAUUAUUUUAUAUAUGUAUUUGUUCUGCUUUGAAGGCCGUAAGUUAGAUAACUCAUUGGGUUGAUUACGUCACCUUCGUUAAAUGAAGAAUAUUGUAUUGUAUUGUAAACUCUAGUGCGAAAGUCAUCGAGCGCUUCUUUGAUGUGUUACUAAACAAGGCAUUUACCACUGUUAAGUCAGUGAAUGAAACCAAAUUACGUGAUAUUCACGAA